UACAGGGGGGGGCAAGCGUUGUUCGGAAUUACUGGGCGUAAAGGGCUCGUAGGUGGCCAACUAAGUCGGACGUGAAAUCCCUCGGCUUAACCGGGGAACUGCGUCCGAUACUGGUUGGCUUGAGUUUGGGAGAGGGAUGCGGAAUUCCAGGUGUAGCGGUGAAAUGCGUAGAUAUCUGGAGGAACACCGGUGGCGAAGGCGGCAUCCUGGACCAAUACUGACGCUGAGGCGCGAAAGCUAGGGGAGCAAACGGG
rnacentral:rRNA from 1 species